UAUUCAACUCAUCAUAAAUAGAUUUUGAUUUAGACUAAACAGAUUUGGAUCUAGACUAAAUGGGUUUGGAUCGUAAACAGAUCAACCCGUUUAACCUGUUUAAUAUUUGGAUCGUAUUUGGAUUUUAGAUAUCUGACCUAUUUAACCUAUUUAAUAUUCAGAUCGAAUUUAGUCAGAUAACUCAUUUAACCUAUUUUUGACACAUUUAACCUGACUUGUUUCACCUAUUCAAUCCAUUUAAGACUUAUUUAACCUGUUUAAAAUCUAUUUAACAUG
rnacentral:lncRNA from 1 species